rnacentral:rRNA from 1 species
GACGAACGCUGGCGGCGUGCUUAACACAUGCAAGUCGAACGGAAAGGCCCUGCUUUUGUGGGGUGCUCGAGUGGCGAACGGGUGAGUAACACGUGAGUAACCUGCCCUUGACUUUGGGAUAACUUCAGGAAACUGGGGCUAAUACCGGAUAGGAGCUCCUGCUGCAUGGUGGGGGUUGGAAAGUUUCGGCGGUUGGGGAUGGACUCGCGGCUUAUCAGCUUGUUGGUGGGGUAGUGGCUUACCAAGGCUUUGACGGGUAGCCGGCCUGAGAGGGUGACCGGCCACAUUGGGCCUGAGAUACGGCCCAGACUCCUACGGGAGGCAGCAGUGGGGAAUAUUGCACAAUGGGCGGAAGCCUGAUGCAGCAACGCCGCGUGCGGGAUGACGGCUUUCGGGUUGUAAACCGCUUUCGCCUGUGACGAAGCGUGAGUGACGGUAAUGGGUAAAGAAGCACCGGCUAACUACGUG